AGCUCGCAAGCAGGUGAGUUGCAAUAACUGGUUCUUGGAGUUUCAGGUUAUAGAUUGAUGUUUCAGAAACUUGAUUGUUGCAUUCUCAUUUUAUAGGCAUACACACUAGAACUGGAAGCUGAGAUUGCGAAACUGAAGGAGAUGAAUGAAGAACUGGAGAGGAAACAGGUAACACUCAUUCAUUCCUUAACUUGAGAUGUUAGCAAAUUUUCUUUCGUUGGCUUGGUCUGACCAAAGCUCAAUCUGGUUGAUGCAGGAUGAACUAAUGCAGAUGCAGAAAAACCAGGUAUGAAUGAACUAUGACUAUCAGCCAACUUGGUGUGAAUCAUGGUUCUCAUUCUUUGACUGUUAAUGGUGAUUGCCCUUUGCUUGUGAUUGCAGUUCUUGGAGAAAAUGAA
rnacentral:lncRNA from 1 species